GGCGCAGCUCUACACGCGGGGUCCCUUCUGCAGAGUGGAUAGGAUUACUCCCUUCUUUGGAGAGGAAGAAAAUCCGGCUUAAUGAGGUUAUGAGUCAAGAUGGCCAAGGAAGCAAUCAGCUGAAAAUGGAUCUAAAUAUAUGGAACUUCAAUCAGGGAUCAGGGAUGGAUUCUGAGCAAUAAUUUUACAUCCAAAAGCACGGCUUGAGAACUGCUGUAGAAGAUUUGCUGGAACUUUGGAUAUGUCCUCUUGGGAAACUGCUAUCCUGCCUGCUUCAGUCCUAAGAUAAGGAGCCCCCAAAAGGUCUGGAUGGUAACGUGGAGAAUGAAGGCCUGAUUUGGAUGCAAUCUGUCUUCACCUUGCUACUGGGCUUUGGGUGAAGGUUGGAAAAUGUAACACUCGGGAUGCAUGAAAAACAGCACUUUCACGUCAUUUAC